rnacentral:rRNA from 1 species
GACGAACGCUGGCGGCGUGCCUAAUACAUGCAAGUUGAGCGCUGAAGGUUGGUACUUGUACCGACUGGAUGAGCAGCGAACGGGUGAGUAACGCGUGGGGAAUCUGCCUUUGAGCGGGGGACAACAUUUGGAAACGAAUGCUAAUACCGCAUAAAAACUUUAAACACAAGUUUUAAGUUUGAAAGAUGCAAUUGCAUCACUCAAAGAUGAUCCCGCGUUGUAUUAGCUAGUUGGUGAGGUAAAGGCUCACCAAGGCGAUGAUACAUAGCCGACCUGAGAGGGUGAUCGGCCAAAUUGGGACUGAGACACGGCCCAAACUCCUAAGGGAGGCAGCAGUAGGGAAUCUUCGGCAAUGGACGAAAGUCUGACCGAGCAACGCCGCGUGAGUGAAGAAGGUUUUCGGAUCGUAAAACUCUGUUGGUAGAGAAGAACGUUGGUGAGAGUGGAAAGCUCAUCAAGUGACGGUAACUACCCAGAAAGGGACGGCUAACUACGUG